AGCGGCGGACGGGUGAGUAACGCGUGGGUAACCCGCCUCAUACAGGGGGAUAACAGUUGGAAACGGCUGCUAAUACCGCAUAAGCGCACAGUACCGCAUGGUACGGUGUGAAAAACUCCGGUGGUAUGAGAUGGACCCGCGUCUGAUUAGGUAGUUGGUGGGGUAACGGCCCACCAAGGCGACGAUUGGUAGCCGGACUGAGAGGUUGAAUGGCCACAUUGGGACUGAGACACGGCCCAG
rnacentral:rRNA from 1 species